rnacentral:rRNA from 1 species
GACGAACGCUGGCGGCGUGCUUAACACAUGCAAGUCGAACGGAAAGGCCCUGCUUUUGUGGGGUGCUCGAGUGGCGAACGGGUGAGUAACACGUGAGUAACCUGCCCUUGACUUUGGGAUAACUUCAGGAAACUGGGGCUAAUACCGGAUAGGAGCUCCUGCUGCAUGGUGGGGGUUGGAAAGUUUCGGCGGUUGGGGAUGGACUCGCGGCUUAUCAGCUUGUUGGUGGGGUAGUGGCUUACCAAGGCUUUGACGGGUAGCCGGCCUGAGAGGGUGACCGGCCAAAUUGGGACUGGGAUACGGCGCAGACUACUACGGGAGGCAGAAGUGAGGAAUAUUGCACGAUGGGCGGAAGCCUGAUGCAGCAACGCCGCGUGCGGGAUGACGGCCUUCGGGUUGAAAACCGCUUUCGCCUGUGACGAAGCGUGAGUGACGGUAAUGGGUAAAGAAGCACCGGCUAACUACGUG